UUCAUCUCACUUAAUCUUCGCAGCGACCCUAGGAGGGAGAAUAAAAUGGGCAAACCCAUUUCACCGAUGAGAAAACCGAGGUACAGAGAAGUAAGAAAUCUGCCCGGGGUCACAAAGCUGGUGAUCUCAAAAGGUCCCCAUGACCCUGACAAAAUGUCGGUACCAAACCAUCCUUGUUCAUACUUGCUGGGUGAGUUUAUGUUACUCGUGGAGAACUAGCUUCCUCACCGACAGGUGGGAUUCUGUACCUACCAUGCCCGCCUGCUAGAUUUAGUUCUGGCGGGAGUGAGAGGAUUCUCUGAAAGCCCGGGGAAUCAAUGGGAUCAAAACGAGGUUCUAACAGGAAAGGAUCCCAGAGCCUCUCCAAGACCGGGAAAAGGGGGCUGCAGGUGCCCUCUCCAGCAAGCUGGAGCUGGAAAGCUUCCAAGACUGGAGGACUGCUAUGCAUGAUCUUAUCCAGGUCAGUCUGGUGCUCAGUUAAGUCCUCGAGUAACUGAACCCAUUUGAAAAACACCAAACCAUUGCUAUUUUGCUCUGAAGGUUACAAAGCAACUUCACACAUAUUUUUCCAUUGGAACCCCACAUACCUGAGCGAUAGGCAUGAUUUGGAUCUCCAUUUUACAGAUUAAGAAACGGAGGCUUGGAGAGCCAU